AUAUCAAUAAGCGGAGGAAAAGAAACCAACAGGGAUUGCCCUAGUAACGGCGAGUGAAGCGGCAACAGCUCAAAUUUGAAAUCUGGCCCCAGGCCCGAGUUGUAAUUUGCAGAGGAUGCUUUUGGCAAAGCGCUUACCGAGUCCCCUGGAACGGGGCGCCACAGAGGGUGAGAGCCCCGUAUGGUAGGACGCCGAGCCUCUGUAAAGCUCCUUCGACGAGUCGAGUAGUUUGGGAAUGCUGCUCUAAAUGGGAGGUAAAUUUCUUCUAAAGCUAAAUACCGGCCAGAGACCGAUAGCGCACAAGUAGAGUGAUCGAAAGAUGAAAAGCACUUUGAAAAGAGGGUUAAAUAGCACGUGAAAUUGUUGAAAGGGAAGCGCUCGUGACCAGACUUGCGCCGGGCGGAUCAUCCAGCGUUCUCGCUGGUGCACUCCGCCCGGCUCAGGCCAGCAUCGGUUUUUGCCGGGGGACAAAAGCUUCGGGAACGUGGCUCCCUUCGGGGAGUGUUAUAGCCCGUUGCUUAAUACCCCGGCGGGGACCGAGGACCGCGCUUCGGCAAGGAUGCUGGCGUAAUGGUCAUCAGCGACCCGUCUUGAAACACGGACCGAGGAGUCAAGCAUUAGUGCGAGUGUUUGGGUGUAAAACCCGCACGCGUAAUGAAAGUGAACGUAGGUGAGAGCUUCGGCGCAUCAUCGACCGAUCCUGAUGUUUUCGGAUGGAUUUGAGUAGGAGCAUUAACGCUUGGACCCGAAAGAUGGUGAACUAUACUUGAAUAGGGUGAAGCCAGAGGAAACUCUGGUGGAGGCUCGCAGCGGUUCUGACGUGCAAAU
rnacentral:rRNA from 1 species